rnacentral:rRNA from 1 species
UACGGGGGGGCAAGCGUUGUUCGGAAUUACUGGGCGUAAAGGGCUCGUCGGCGGCCAACUAAGUCAGACGUGAAAUCCCUCGGCUUAACCGGGGAACUGCAUCUGAUACUGGAUGGCUUGAGUUCGGGAGAGGGAUGUGGAAUUCCAGGUGUAGCGGUGAAAUGCGUAGAUAUCUGGAGGAACACCGGUGGCGAAGGCGGCAUCCUGGACCGACACUGACGCUGAUGAGCGAAAGCCAGGGGAGCAAACGGG